AUCGAUAAUCCACGUUANUCCUCACUUUAAUUUAAAAUUUAUAUAUCGCCAUCUUAAGAAUUAAUUUAAAAAUCUUUCUCUCAAUAAUUAAUAAAAAGUUAGGUCAAGGUGUAAUCUAUAUUAAAGAUUAGAUGAAUUACACUAAAAAAUAUUUAAAGCUUAUCUAUACACUUACAGAUACAAAUAAGAAUUUAAAAGUAAUAUAUAUAUAACAAUAAUUAUAUAUGAUAAAGAUAAUAAAUGUGCACACAUCGCCC
rnacentral:rRNA from 1 species